GACGAACGCUGGCGGCGUGCUUAACACAUGCAAGUCGAACGGAAAGGCCCUGCUUUUGUGGGGUGCUAGAGUGGCGAACGGGUUAGUAACACGUGCGUAUCCUGCCCUUGUCUUUGGGAUAACUUCAGGUAACUGGGGUUAAUACCGGAUAGGCGCUCCCGCUGCCUGGUGGGGGUUGGAACGUUUCGGCGGUUGGGGAUGAGCUCGCGGCUUAUCAGAUUGUUGGUGGGGUAGUGGCUUACCAAGGCUUUGACGGGUAGCCGGCCUGAGAGGGUGACCGGCCACAUUGGGACUGAGAUACGGCCCGGAGUCCUACGGGAGGCAGCAGUAGGGAAUAAUGCACAAUGGGCGGAAGCCUGAUGCAGCAACGCCGCGUGAGGGAUUACGGCCUUCGGGUGUUAGACCGCUUUCGGCUGUGACGAAGCGUGAGUGACGGUAAUGUGUAAAGAAGCACCGGCUAACUACGUG
rnacentral:rRNA from 1 species